rnacentral:rRNA from 1 species
AUUGAACGCUGGCGGCAUGCCUUACACAUGCAAGUCGAACGGUAACGCGGGGCAACCUGGCGGCGAGUGGCGAACGGGUGAGUAAUAUAUCGGAACGUGCCCAGUCGUGGGGGAUAACUGCUCGAAAGAGCAGCUAAUACCGCAUACGACCUGAGGGUGAAAGCGGGGAUCUUCGGACCUCGCGCGAUUGGAGCGGCCGAUAUCAGAUUAGGUAGUUGGUGGGGUAAAGCCACCAAGCCGACGAUCUGUAGCUGGUCUGAGAGGACGACCAGCCACACUGGGACUGAGACACGGCCCAGACUCCUACGGGAGGCAGCAGUGGGGAAUUUUGGACAAUGGGGGCAACCCUGAUCCAGCCAUGCCGCGUGCGGGAA